CAGCACUUAAAAAAUCACCCUGUACACCAAAUAUGUUAGUUCCUGAAAAUCAGGGUACAGCAGCCCAGCUACCAACACAGGUCCCUAACAGCACAUCACCCCAGUGCUCUGCUCAGAACACUGGCUCCCCAAUUAAUCUCAAGACCGCUUCAAAGUUUGGACCCUAAUCUUCAAAGCUCUUCAUGGGAAUGGCUCAAGCUACCAAAGAGACUGCUCCGUCAUUUUGCCCGAUGAGAGGUAUCAGUUAUCACGGCCUCUGGGGCUUACACACAUGGAGUUGUCUUCCUGUCCUCUGCUCCUCAGAUUGUUGCCACAGGACCAAGUUUGCAUAGUGAAAGGAGGAGAGUAAAGCUCAGUGCUGGGCUACAUUCAGGCAGGCAGUCUUGGCCUGGGAACUCAGUGAGGAACAAGGAAGGAGAGGAUGCUGGAGUGGAAGUGAUUUGAAUUAGAACAAACUGGCUGCUGAAUAGAAGCUUUUAUUCCAGCCUGGAGAAGGCUUUGUUAGUCAAGCACAUGUGAUGCACAAAAGCCUCUCCUUGAAUUCAUUGAGUUUUAAUUGGUUCUCAGGUGGGGGA